rnacentral:rRNA from 1 species
CCUACGGUGGGCAGCAGUGGGGAAUAUUGCACACUGGGGGAAACCCUGAUGCAGCGACGCCGCGUGAGUGAAGAAGUAUUUCGGUAUGUCAAGCUCUAUCAGCCGGGAAGAAAAUGACGGUACCUGACUAAGAAGCCCCGGCUAACUACGUGCCAGCAGCCGCGGUAAUACGUAGGGGGCAAGCGUUAUCCGGAUUUACUGGGUGGAAAGGGAGCGUAGGUGGCAUGGUAAGCCAGAAGUGAAAACCCGGGGCUCAACCCCGCGGAUUGCUUUUGGAACUAUCAGGCUGGAGUGCUGGAGGGGUAAGCGGAAUUGCUAGUGUAGCGGUGAAAUGCGUAGAUAUUAGGAGGAACACCGGUGGCGAAGGCGGCUUACUGGACAGAAACUGACACUGAGGCUAGAAAGCGUGGGGAGCAAACAGGAUUAGAUACCCGGGUAGUC